UACAGAGGGUGCAAGCGUUGUUCGGAAUUACUGGGCGUCAAGCGCGUGUAGGUGGCGAUGUAAGUCGGGUGUGAAAUCCCUUGGCUUAACCAAGGAAGUGCAUUCGAUACUGUGUCGCUUGAGUACUGGAGGGGAUGGCGGAAUUCCCGGUGUAGAGGUGAAAUUCGUAGAUAUCGGGAGGAACACCUGUGGCGAAGGCGGCCAUCUGGACAGUCACUGACACUGAGACGCGAAAGCGUGGGUAGCAAACAGG
rnacentral:rRNA from 1 species